GCCUCGGCUCCGUCCCCGUCUCGGCUCAGUCCACCUGUCGCACUUGGGAGCCCGGCGCACCCGAGCUAGUCGCGAGGAGCAGGCAGCUGAGACCUUCCCAGGCCUGUGGGACCGACUUAACACUACGAUCUGAAGAGCAGAUAAAAUUCAGCAUCGUCACCAGUCUGAUGGAGCCACCCAGUGACUUCCUGUUCCAUGACCUUUAUUCUUCUGACCGUGAAGAGGAUGGGGACCCUCCACCCUUGCUUGCACCGAUGUACCCGUGUCGUGCAAUGCCUGUGAAGUCAGAAGACGGCG